rnacentral:rRNA from 1 species
UACGUAGGGUGCAAGCGUUAAUCGGAAUUACUGGGCGUGAAGCGUGCGCAGGCGGUGAUGUAAGACAGAUGUGAAAUCCCCGGGCUCAACCUGGGAACUGCAUUUGUGACUGCAUCGCUGGAGUACGGCAGAGGGGGAUGGAAUUCCGCGUGUAGCAGUGAAAUGCGUAGAUAUGCGGAGGAACACCGAUGGCGAAGGCAAUCCCCUGGGCCUGUACUGACGCUCAUGCACGAAAGCGUGGGGAGCAAACAGG